rnacentral:misc_RNA from 1 species
GAAAUGCGAUAAGUAAUGUGAAUUGCAGAAUUCAGUGAAUCAUCGAAUCUUUGAACGCACAUUGCGCCCGCCAGUAUUCUGGCGGGCAUGCCUGUCCGAGCGUCAUUUCAACCAUCAAGCCCCCGGGCUUGUGUUGGGGACCUGCGGCUGCCCGCAGGCCCUGAAAACCAGUGGCGGGCUCGCUGUCACACCGAGCGUAGUAGCAAACACCUCGCUCAGGGCGUGCUGCGGGUUCCGGCCGUUAAACAGCCUUACAAAACCCAAGGUUGACCUCGGAUCAGGUAGGAAGACCCGCUGAACUUAAGC